CAAGCUUUUAAGAGCAGAUGGCGGAUGCCUUGCCAAAGAGAGGCGAUGAAGGACGUACUAGACUGCGAUAAGCUAUGCGGAGCUGUCAAGGAGCUUUGAUGCGUAGAUGUCCGAAUGGGGCAACCCAACUAAUAGAGAUAUUAGUUACUCUAAUUAUAGAGGGCGAACCUAGUGAAGUGAAACAUCUCAGUAACUAGAGGAAAAGAAAUCAACGAGAUUCCCUAAGUAGUGGCGAGCGAACGGGGAAAAGGGCAAACCGAGUGCUUGCAUUCGGGGUUGAGGACUGCAACAUCCAAGAGAACGCUUUAGCAGAGUUACCUGGAAAGGUAAGCCAUAGAAAGUGAUAGCCUUGUAUGCGACAAGGCGUUCUUAGGUAGCAGUAUCCAGAGUAGGCCAGGACACGAGAAAUCCAGGUUGAAGCCGGGGAGACCACUCUCCAACCCUAAAUACUACUCUUUGAGCGAUAGCGAACAAGUACCGUGAGGGAAAGGUGAAAAGAACCGCAGUGAGCGGAGUGAAAUAGAACCUGAAACCAUCUGCUUACAAUCAUUCAGAGCCCUAUGAUUUAUCAGGGUGAUGGACUGCCUUUUGCAUAAUGAUCCUGCGAGUUGUGGUAUCUGGCAAGGUUAAGCGAAUGCGAAGCCGUAGCGAAAGCGAGUCUUAAUAGGGCGCUUGAGUCAGAUGCUGCAGACCCGAAGCUAAGUGAUCUAUCCAUGGCCAAGUUGAAACGCGUGUAAUAGCGCGUGGAGGACUGAACUCGUACCCAUUGAAACGGGUUGGGAUGAGCUGUGGAUAGGGGUGAAAGGCCAAACAAACUUAGUGAUAGCUGGUUCUCUUCGAAAUAUAUUUAGGUAUAGCCUCAAGUGAUAAUAAAAGGGGGUAGAGCACUGAUUGGGCUAGGGCUGCUCGCCGCGGUACCAAACCCUAUCAAACUUCGAAUACCUUUUAUCGUAUCUUGGGAGUCAGGCGGUGGGUGAUAAAAUCAAUCGUCAAAAGGGGAACAACCCAGACUACCAAAUAAGGUCCCUAAGUUCUAUUCUGAGUGGAAAAAGAUGUGUGGCUACUCAAACAACCAGGAGGUUGGCUUAGAAGCAGCCAUCCUUUAAAGAAAGCGUAACAGCUCACUGGUCUAGUGGUCAUGCGCUGAAAAUAUAACGGGGCUAAGAUAGACACCGAAUUUGUAGAUUGUGUUAAACACAGUGGUAGAAGAGCGUUCAUACCAGCGUUGAAGGUAUACCGGUAAGGAGUGCUGGAGCGGUAUGAAGUGAGCAUGCAGGAAUGAGUAACGAUAAGAUAUAUGAGAAUUGUAUCCGCCGUAAAUCUAAGGUUUCCUACGCGAUGGUCGUCAUCGUAGGGUUAGUCGGGUCCUAAGCCGAGUCCGAAAGGGGUAGGUGAUGGCAAAUUGGUUAAUAUUCCAAUACCGACUUAUGGAGCGUGAUGGGGGGACGCAUAGGGUUAAGCGAGCUAGCUGAUGGAAGCGCUAGUCUAAGGGCGUAGAUUGGAGGGAAGGCAAAUCCACCUCUGUAUUUGAAACCCAAACAGGCUCUUUGAGUCCUUUCAGGACAAAGGGAGAAUCGCUGAUACCGUCGUGCCAAGAAAAGCCUCUAAGCAUAUCCAUAGUCGUCCGUACCGCAAACCGACACAGGUAGAUGAGAUGAGUAUUCUAAGGCGCGUGAAAGAACUCUGGUUAAGGAACUCUGCAAACUAGCACCGUAAGUUCGCGAUAAGGUGUGCCACAGCGAUGUGGUCUCAGCAAAGAGUCCCUCCCGACUGUUUACCAAAAACACAGCACUUUGCCAACUCGUAAGAGGAAGUAUAAGGUGUGACGCCUGCCCGGUGCUCGAAGGUUAAGAGGAUGCGUCAGUCGCAAAAGAUGAAGCGUUGAAUUGAAGCCCGAGUAAACGGCGGCCGUAACUAUAACGGUCCUAAGGUAGCGAAAUUCCUUGUCGGUUAAAUACCGACCUGCAUGAAUGGCGUAACGAGAUGGGAGCAGUCUCAACCAGAGAUUCAGUGAAAUUGUAGUGGAGGUGAAAAUUCCUCCUACCCGCGGCAAGACGGAAAGACCCCGUGGACCUUUACUACAACUUAGCACUGCUAAUGGGAAUAUCAUGCGCAGGAUAGGUGGGAGGCUUUGAAGUAAGGGCUUUGGCUCUUAUGGAGCCAUCCUUGAGAUACCACCCUUGAUGUUUCUGUUAGCUAACUGGCCUGUGUUAUCCACAGGCAGGACAAUGCUUGGUGGGUAGUUUGACUGGGGCGUCGCCUCCUAAAAAGUAACGGAGGCUUGCAAAGGUUGGCUCAUUGCGGUUGGAAAUCGCAAGUUGAGUGUAAUGGCACAAGCCAGCCUGACUGUAAGACAUACAAGUCAAGCAGAGACGAAAGUCGGUCAUAGUGAUCCGGUGGUUCUGUGUGGAAGGGCCAUCGCUCAAAGGAUAAAAGGUACCCCGGGGAUAACAGGCUGAUCUCCCCCAAGAGCUCACAUCGACGGGGAGGUUUGGCACCCCGAUGUCGGCUCAUCGCAUCCUGGGGCUGGAGCAGGUCCCAAGGGUAUGGCUGUUCGCCAUUUAAAGCGGUACGCGAGCUGGGUUCAGAACGUCGUGAGACAGUUCGGUCCCUAUCUGCCGUGGGCGUAGGAAAGUUGAGGAGAGCUGUCCCUAGUACGAGAGGACCGGGAUGGACGUGUCACUGGUGCACCAGUUGUUCUGCCAAGAGCAUCGCUGGGUAGCUACACACGGAUGUGAUAACUGCUGAAAGCAUCUAAGCAGGAAGCCAACUCCAAGAUAAACUUUCCCUGAAGCUCGCACAAAGACUAUGUGCUUGAUAGGGUAGAUGUGUAAGCGUAGUAAUGCGUUUAGCUGACUACUACUAAUAGAGCGUUUGGCUUGUUUU
rnacentral:rRNA from 1 species